rnacentral:rRNA from 1 species
AGUGAACGCUGGCGGUAGGCCUAACACAUGCAAGUCUAACGGCAGCACAGUAAGAGCUUGCUUUUACGGGUGGCGCGUGGCGGACGGGUGAGGAAUACAUCGGAAUCUACUUUUUCGUGGGGGAUAACGUAGGGAAACUUACGCUAAUACCGCAUACGACCUACGGUUGAAAGCAGGGGAUCUUCGGACCUUGCGCGAUUGAAUGAGCCGAUGUCGGAUUAGCUAGUUGGCGGGGUAAAGGCCCCCAAAGGCGACGAUCCGUAGCUGGUCUGAGAAGGUGAUCAAGCACACCGGAACUGGGAGACGGUCCCAAGGGCAAUGGGAUGCAGCAGUGAGGAAUAAUGGACGAAGGGGGCAAGCCUGAUGCAGCCAUACCGCGAGGGUGAUAAAGGCCUUCGGUGUGUAAAACCCAUUUUUUGGGAAAGAAAAUCGACAUGAUAAGAGCCCGCUGUUCUGACGGUACCCAAAGAAUAAGCACCGGCUAACUUCGUG